UUACGGAAGGGCUGUAUUUAUUGGAUACCAAAACCAUCCUUCCCUCGGGAAGUUUUGUUUGAUGAUUCACAAUAACUGAUCGGAUCGCCACUGUGGUGGCGACAGGUCAUUCAACAUUCUGCCCUAUCAGCUUUCGAUGGUUGUGUAGUGGACAACCAUGGCCAUAACGGGUAACGGAGAAUCAGGGUUCGAUUCCGGAGAAGGAGCUUGAGAAUUGGCUACUACAUCUAAGGAAGGCAGCAGGCGCGCAAAUUACCCAAUCCCGAUUCGGGGAGGUAGUGACAAAAAAUAACAAUACCGGGCCUUUUUGGGCUUGGUAAUUGGAAUGAGGGAGAGUUAAACGGACCAUCGAGUAUCCAUUGGAGGGCAAGUCUGGUGCCAGCAGCUGCGGUAAUACCAGCUCCAAUAGCGUAUAUUAAAGUUGUUGCAGUUAAAAAGCUCGUAGUUGGACUUGUGUGCGCUGUCCGCGGGUGGCCUGCGCCCAAAAGGGCGUUUCGGUUCGGCCCCGGUGGCGCCUUGAAAUCUGCAGCUGGGGGGACGUUGGCCUUAACUGGUCGGCGACCGCACGCCGGCUGCUCGGUUACUGUGAGAAAAUUAGAGUGUUCAAGGCAGGCAUUGGGUGCAAUUGAAUACAUUAGCAUGGAAUAAUAAAAUAUGGCUCCUGCCGUAUUUUGUUGGUUUUGACUGGUGGGAGUAAUGAUUGAUAGGGACGGUUGGGGGUGCUAGUAUUGAGCGGCCAGAGGUGAAAUUCAUGGAUUCGCUCAAGACUAACUUAUGCGAAAGCAUUCACCAAGGACGUCCUCUUUAAUCAAGAACGAAAGUUGGGGGAUCGAAGACGAUCAGAUACCGUCGUAGUCUCAACCAUAGACUAUGUCGACUUGGGAUCGGCGGUAGUUUUUUCAUUAAGACACUGUCGGGACCACGGGAGAAAUCAAAGUGUCUGGACUCUGGGGGAAGUAUGGUCGCAAGGCUGAAACUUGAAGGAAUUGACGGAAGGGCACCACCAGGAGUGGAGCCUGCGGCUUAAUUUGACCCAACACGGGGAAACUUACCAGGUCCAGAGAUGUAGAGGAUUGACAGAUUGAAGCUCUUUCUUGAUCACUUCGGUGGUGGUGCAUGGCCGUUCUUAGUUGGUGGAGUGAUUUGUCUGGUUAAUUCCGUUAACGAACGAGACCUCAGCCUGCUAGUGUAGUCGGCUGGAUUGCC
rnacentral:rRNA from 1 species